rnacentral:misc_RNA from 1 species
AUUAUAUACAUAUAUAUAUAUAUAUAUGUACAAAGAAAGGUGAAACAUUCAACAAAUUCUGUUUUCUCAAAAAAAAAGAAAAUAUAUAUAUAUAUAUAUUUAUUCCGAAAUAUUCUGUGCUUUAUUGUUUUACGGUCGACAGAUCCAAUGGCCGGGAAAGGGUGGAGAAAAUUUGUGUUGGUGUUUUUUCGGUCGGUCGAGAUGAUAUGUUAAGACAGUCGAGACCGACAUCCAAACUUCACCUUGACACCAUAGUUUCUUCACAUCAAGUGAGUCCCUUCUUCAGAAUAUUUUCGCACCUGUCUCCAAUGAACCGUAUCUGUAUUCCUAGAGUCACAUAUUUUGACAAACUUUACCUGAAACUCCAGCACUUAUUCUGAAGAAUCUGCACUGAUGUCUAACAGCCUAAUUUUGAACUUUCUUCCCUAAAAUUAUUUUAGAGCCAUUUUGACAUCAGAGACCUUUUCCAGAAGAUUUACUUUCUUCUUCUAUCUCCGAAGUUAUAUUUCCAGAAAUUUCACUGCCCUAAUUUUGAAGAGCAUUCUUUAAAAUUCCAGUGACCCCGCAAGAAAGAGGACCUUUCUGUAAUAUUUAUAACUUUAUCUUCUACAAUUUUCUCUAAUAUUCUUUAAUCUUGAUGCUUAAGAACAUUCACCGAAAUUCUAAUAUAUUUAAUCAUUCUACCCAAAAAAAAAAACUGGAUCUCCUCAAGUGGUCCUUAACCAAGAAAUAUUUUCUGCUGACAAAGUCUAAAUCAUUGGAAGACUUCCGCCAAACUGGGUGGCGUUUGAAACAAACUAAGCCACCUUCUCAUGAAACAUAAGAUUCCUUUGCUCUGGUGCUUAACUCUGGUUUCUGUGGUAUCAAGUAGAUGAGAGAUAAAUCUCCCCCUGGACGUAAUAAUAUUGCUAUGUGGAAUUUCCCGAGAAAUAUCAAGUAGUUAACCGUCAUUUAGUUGAAGUGGGACACAUCAACAACAACGACAUUUUCAGUGGUAUUUCCUCAGAAAAUAUCUUGUUGCUUAUCUUCCUGCUGGUGAAGGAAGACACGACAACCACAACAGGAACAACAACAUUUGCAGUGGAAAUUCUCCACAAAUGCCUCGUUGCUGGUCUUCAUGUAAAAAAAGCAACACAGACAUAAUAACAUCACCUGCUUUGUGAUAGGAAGGGGCCAACUGUCCCAGAUCGAACAGUCCCCCUCUCCAAUACAUCUUCUUCUCUUCACCAGAACUUUUUUUUGCUCACCAUUUACACAAAUGUCACACAAGGACUACAUCAAUCACCAAAUGUGAUUUCAAUUUAUAGAAAAUUAAUUAUAAUUUCUUCAUAAUUUGGAAUCAUUUUCCUAGAAAUUUAUUUCUUGUUUAUUUUAAAAUUCAACAAUUCUUCCAUCAUACCAAGACGAAAGACUAAAAACUAAAGACUAUGUCCGUCAAGUUUGUAUCAUGUAACAAAAUUUGUGUUGAGGAAUAGACAACCUGCUGCCACACACACACACAUACACAUACACACAGGCUUACACCUGCAUUCAUACAAUAUGUAAACGAUUUUACCAGUCCUUCUUCCCUGGAGCUGUGUCUCCCUCUGGAACUCACUCUUGGCCCAUGUAUUGUCCCUACCAAACUACAACAGUUUAAAUGGAAGAUUAAACCUCACCCCCACCCCAGUCUAGAAGAGGACUGUUAAAACCAUUGCUAUGGUCACUGGCUCUCCUCACACUAAUUAAAAACAACACACACACACACACAAAGAGGCUCAUACAUACAUACACAUACACACACAUAUACAUACAUGCAUAUAGAUAUACAUAGAUUUAUACACAUAAACACACACAGUCUACUGGUUGUAUUAAAGUUACAUUAGUACGUCAGUGCAAAUGUAUACAUACAUGUACACAAAUCUGAACAUAUAAUUUAUAUGUCCCUGCAGUUAUAUACAUACAUACAUACAUACAUAUAUACAUACAUAUAUACAUACAUACAUACAUAUAUAUACAUCUGGUUAUAUAUCAGCACAUAUAAAUAUUGCACACGCUUGAACCACUUUCCAUAUAGCGUGCACAGACACAAACACACUCAUAGCCAGACGACACAUACACUUAAGGAACACACACAUACACACACACAUAUACAGAGUCCAUUCACUAAAUAUAUACAAAUAGAAACACACACGGUAUAGUCACACAGACACAGUCACAAAGUAUCACACACACACACACACACACACAUUGUCAAAUCCACAACAACAGUUUCACUCUGAUUGCUCAAUAUAUCUAUCGUCUUAAACAAGUAUCUCAACCAACAAAAAUGCUGUCAGCAGAAGGAAGCCAUCUGAUAAUUAACCAAAAGUCAUAACUGUUUCUGUGAUAAUUACUACAUCAGUUUCUAAUAACAAUCUAAUUAACAAUGUGUAAUUAAUUAUGUCUAAUCUAUCUAACCAAAUGUAUCCAUUCAAUAACCAAUACGGAUUAGAUUUACAUAAUCCUCCUGGAUUAUUCUACGGAGGUGAAGACUCUUUGAAGCUGAACCAGCAUGAGAAUGGAUCAAAUGCGGAACAGGGCCAGCGCCACACUGGCGGGAAGUCUUGUAGGUGUAAUUUCUGCCAAAAGGGCUAUCCCCAUACGAUGUCGGCCAAUCCGAGGAUGUCGUCUGAUGGCAACAGCGGAGCCAGCAGCAGCAACAACAGCAAUGACAACAACAGCAACAUGUUGGAUUCUAUACAACAACAACAACAGCAGCAGCAGCAACCUCAUGGCAUGAAUCCGCUUCUCAAUUCCAGCUCAACUCAUUCUUUGCAGUCUCCACCUCACUCUGACAGCGCAAUUAUGAACGGAAGUGAUAAUGGAGACGAUGCUGGCAAUGUGUCGAGUUUGAAAUCAACCCCACAUUCAAACCCGACCCGAACUCCUCCCGUCUCUUCUUCCAACAGCGUUAUCCCGCCCCUCCUAAUCCCCAAUGUCCCCACUUCUUCGAGCAACUCUGCAAAAUGCUUCUUCUGCACUUUCUGCAAGAAGGCCUUUGCUCAGCAAAUCCACUUGAAAAACCACGAACUUACCCACACAGCAGGGGGCGAGUAUCAACAGAAACCUUACACGUGUGAGAUCUGUAACAAGAGCUUCAACCUGCAAAUUAAUUUGAAGAAUCACCAGAGAAUACAUUCAGGGGAGAAACCCUUCACCUGUGUCGAGUGUGGGAAAGCCUUCAGCCAGCAAGGGAAUCUGAAGAUACACAUGAGAACACACACUGGCGAAAAGCCUUAUCAAUGCGAAUUAUGCCCGAAGGCAUUCAGCCAACGAACCAACUUGGAGAACCAUUGUCGUAUACAUACAGGUGACCUCUUUAGUUGCAUGACGUGUUCGAAGACUUUCACGUUGCAAAUUAACUUACGCAAUCAUGAACGCAUCCAUACAGGUGAGAAACCGUACUUGUGUGGGUUUUGCCCCAAAGCGUUCAGUCAGCAAACGGCACUGAAGAAUCACCACCGGACACACACCGGGGAAAAGCCUUACACAUGCUUAACAUGUGGCAAAGCUUUUAGUCAGCAAGGAAACUUGAAACUCCACAUGAGGAAUCAUACUGGAGAGCGACCGUUUGUGUGUCAGACAUGUGGCAAAGCGUUCAGUCAACGGGUCAACUUGGAGGACCAUAAACGCCUGCACACCGGAGACAUGUUCUACUGUCAAUUCUGUAAGAAGGCCUUUGCCAAUGCUUUCUUCCUCCGCAACCACGAACGUAUUCACACCGGUGAGAAGCCAUUCAAGUGUUCGUUUUGUCCCAAAGCGUUCAGUUUGCAGAUAAACAUGAAGAAUCACAUGAGAACGCAUACUGGAGAGAAGCCGUUUAGGUGUUUAACUUGUGGGAAGUCCUUCAGUCAGCAGGGCAACCUGAAGUUGCACAUGCGAACACACACAGGCGAGAAACCCUAUCAAUGUGAACUCUGUCCGAAGACGUUCAGUCAGAAGACGAACCUGGAUAACCAUAGGCGUAUUCAUAACGGGAACAUGUUUAAGUGUUCGAUGUGUUCAAAGGCAUUUACUCUUCAAAUCAGUUUGCAGAAUCACGAACGCAUUCAUACUGGGGAGAAACCUUAUUAUUGCACUGUGUGUAACAAAACAUUUGCACAGCGUGGAAAUCUGAAAACUCACUUUCGCAUACACACGGGGGAGAAACCUUUUCAAUGUGACGUGUGUGGGAAAAGCUUCUCACAGAGGGCCAAUCUAAACAAUCACAAACGCACUCGCACUGGUUGUGAACUCUAUUCAAAGCCAUCGGCCACUGCUGGAUCGUCGGCCCUGACCACCUCUAAGGAAUCUAACAUAGGGAAAGACUAUACGUCCCCGCAAAUCGCUGACAGGUCGGGGUCAGAGAUGUCCUCUUCGAACCUGUCUCCUCCAUCGUUCCCUUGCAACACACGCAGGAGCCCACCGCCUAAGACUAACAACCCUUCUUUGAAAUCCAGAGAUCCAUCACACACUGAGGGUAGCAGCACAAGCCACCCGGAUGCUCCCAGUCAGACCCACAUGAGGAGCCACAGCCACAGCAACAUGGCCAGCAUCCUCCCCAGCCACCCGACCUCCCAGCCACAAAACCUUCAUCACAUGAACCCUAGAGACUCCAAGAAUCACAGUGUCCGACUCCAGGCCCCGUCGGUCACACCCAGCUGGAUGGCACCGGCCUACCUCCACGAGAUACCCCCCAACUGGGAGAACAAUUACUUGUGGUCGCGCAGCUUCCCCAUCCCCCCUAUUUUGGGCACUGGCUGGCCCAACAUGUCCAGUAUCCCCAACAUACCCAACACCGUGUCGAACGGACACAAGCAACAGCACCACCCUAUCUCUAAUCACCCGCACUCUAUUUCCUCCUCACUCCAUUCCAAUCGAAAAACAUAAGAGACCCCUUUCUCUAGAUUUCUAAUAUUGAAUCCUGAAUCAAUUGACAAUGUCACCUUUGACCCUUGGGGUCAGAAAAUGUUAUGACUGUAACAUACAUACAUACAUACACACACACAUACACACACACACA